rnacentral:rRNA from 1 species
GAUGAACGCUAGCGAUAGGCUUAACACAUGCAAGUCGAGGGGCAGCAUUAUUUUAGCUUGCUAAGAUAGAUGGCGACCGGCGCACGGGUGCGUAACGCGUAUGCAACCUGCCUGUAAUUAGGGAAUAACCCGGUGAAAGUCGGACUAAUACCCUAUAUUCUUCUUUCUCCGCAUGGAGGAGGACGGAAAGAUUUAUUGAUUACAGAUGGGCAUGCGUCCCAUUAGCUAGUUGGUAAGGUAACGGCUUACCAAGGCAACGAUGGGUAGGGGGACUGAGAGGUUGACCCCCCACACUGGUACUGAGACACGGACCAGACUCCUACGGGAGGCAGCAGUGAGGAAUAUUGGUCAAUGGGCGAGAGCCUGAACCAGCCAAGUCGCGUGAAGGACGACGGUUCUAUGGAUUGUAAACUUCUUUUGUAGAGGAAUAAUGGCAGUUACGUGUAGCUGAGAUGCAUGUACUCUACGAAUAAGUAUCGGCUAACUCCGUGCCAGCAGCCGCGGUAAUACGGAGGAUACGAGCGUUACCCGGAAUUAUUGGGUUUAAAGGGUGCGUAGGUGGCGUAUUAAGUCAGUGGUGAAAAGCUGCAGCUCAACUGUAGUCUUGCCGUUGAAACUGAUAUGCUAGAGAGGAGACGAGGUAUGCGGAAUGUGUGGUGUAGCGGUGAAAUGCAUAGAUAUCACACAGAACGCCGAUUGCGAAGGCAGCGUACCAGGCUCCGUCUGACACUGAAGCACGAAAGCGUGGGGAUCAAACAGG